rnacentral:rRNA from 1 species
GGUUAAGCGACUAAGCGUACACGGUGGAUGCCCUGGCAGUCAGAGGCGAUGAAGGACGUGCUAAUCUGCGAUAAGCGUCGGUAAGGUGAUAUGAACCGUUAUAACCGGCGAUUUCCGAAUGGGGAAACCCAGUGUGUUUCGACACACUAUCAUUAACUGAAUCCAUAGGUUAAUGAGGCGAACCGGGGGAACUGAAACAUCUAAGUACCCCGAGGAAAAGAAAUCAACCGAGAUUCCCCCAGUAGCGGCGAGCGAACGGGGAGCAGCCCAGAGCCUGAAUCAGUGUGUGUGUUAGUGGAAGCGUCUGGAAAGGCGCGCGAUACAGGGUGACAGCCCCGUACACAAAAAUGCACAUGCUGUGAGCUCGAUGAGUAGGGCGGGACACGUGGUAUCCUGUCUGAAUAUGGGGGGACCAUCCUCCAAGGCUAAAUACUCCUGACUGACCGAUAGUGAACCAGUACCGUGAGGGAAAGGCGAAAAGAACCCCGGCGAGGGGAGUGAAAAAGAACCUGAAACCGUGUACGUACAAGCAGUGGGAGCACGCUUAGGCGUGUGACUGCGUACCUUUUGUAUAAUGGGUCAGCGACUUAUAUUCUGUAGCAAGGUUAACCGAAUAGGGGAGCCGAAGGGAAACCGAGUCUUAACUGGGCGUUAAGUUGCAGGGUAUAGACCCGAAACCCGGUGAUCUAGCCAUGGGCAGGUUGAAGGUUGGGUAACACUAACUGGAGGACCGAACCGACUAAUGUUGAAAAAUUAGCGGAUGACUUGUGGCUGGGGGUGAAAGGCCAAUCAAACCGGGAGAUAGCUGGUUCUCCCCGAAAGCUAUUUAGGUAGCGCCUCGUGAAUUCAUCUCCGGGGGUAGAGCACUGUUUCGGCAAGGGGGUCAUCCCGACUUACCAACCCGAUGCAAACUGCGAAUACCGGAGAAUGUUAUCACGGGAGACACUCGGCGGGUGCUAACGUCCGUCGUGAAGAGGGAAACAACCCAGACCGCCAGCUAAGGUCCCAAAGUCAUGGUUAAGUGGGAAACGAUGUGGGAAGGCCCAGACAGCCAGGAUGUUGGCUUAGAAGCAGCCAUCAUUUAAAGAAAGCGUAAUAGCUCACUGGUCGAGUCGGCCUGCGCGGAAGAUGUAACGGGGCUAAACCAUGCACCGAAGCUGCGGCAGCGACGCUGAUGCGUUGUUGGGUAGGGGAGCGUUCUGUAAGCCUGUGAAGGUGUGCUGUGAGGCAUGCUGGAGGUAUCAGAAGUGCGAAUGCUGACAUAAGUAACGAUAAAGCGGGUGAAAAGCCCGCUCGCCGGAAGACCAAGGGUUCCUGUCCAACGUUAAUCGGGGCAGGGUGAGUCGACCCCUAAGGCGAGGCCGAAAGGCGUAGUCGAUGGGAAACAGGUUAAUAUUCCUGUACUUGGUGUUACUGCGAAGGGGGGACGGAGAAGGCUAUGUUGGCCGGGCGACGGUUGUCCCGGUUUAAGCGUGUAGGCUGGUUUUCCAGGCAAAUCCGGAAAAUCAAGGCUGAGGCGUGAUGACGAGGCACUACGGUGCUGAAGCAACAAAUGCCCUGCUUCCAGGAAAAGCCUCUAAGCAUCAGGUAACAUCAAAUCGUACCCCAAACCGACACAGGUGGUCAGGUAGAGAAUACCAAGGCGCUUGAGAGAACUCGGGUGAAGGAACUAGGCAAAAUGGUGCCGUAACUUCGGGAGAAGGCACGCUGAUAUGUAGGUGAAGUCCCUCGCGGAUGGAGCUGAAAUCAGUCGAAGAUACCAGCUGGCUGCAACUGUUUAUUAAAAACACAGCACUGUGCAAACACGAAAGUGGACGUAUACGGUGUGACGCCUGCCCGGUGCCGGAAGGUUAAUUGAUGGGGUUAGCCGCAAGGCGAAGCUCUUGAUCGAAGCCCCGGUAAACGGCGGCCGUAACUAUAACGGUCCUAAGGUAGCGAAAUUCCUUGUCGGGUAAGUUCCGACCUGCACGAAUGGCGUAAUGAUGGCCAGGCUGUCUCCACCCGAGACUCAGUGAAAUUGAACUCGCUGUGAAGAUGCAGUGUACCCGCGGCAAGACGGAAAGACCCCGUGAACCUUUACUAUAGCUUGACACUGAACAUUGAGCCUUGAUGUGUAGGAUAGGUGGGAGGCUUUGAAGUGUGGACGCCAGUCUGCAUGGAGCCGACCUUGAAAUACCACCCUUUAAUGUUUGAUGUUCUAACGUUGACCCGUAAUCCGGGUUGCGGACAGUGUCUGGUGGGUAGUUUGACUGGGGCGGUCUCCUCCUAAAGAGUAACGGAGGAGCACGAAGGUUGGCUAAUCCUGGUCGGACAUCAGGAGGUUAGUGCAAUGGCAUAAGCCAGCUUGACUGCGAGCGUGACGGCGCGAGCAGGUGCGAAAGCAGGUCAUAGUGAUCCGGUGGUUCUGAAUGGAAGGGCCAUCGCUCAACGGAUAAAAGGUACUCCGGGGAUAACAGGCUGAUACCGCCCAAGAGUUCAUAUCGACGGCGGUGUUUGGCACCUCGAUGUCGGCUCAUCACAUCCUGGGGCUGAAGUAGGUCCCAAGGGUAUGGCUGUUCGCCAUUUAAAGUGGUACGCGAGCUGGGUUUAGAACGUCGUGAGACAGUUCGGUCCCUAUCUGCCGUGGGCGCUGGAGAACUGAGGGGGGCUGCUCCUAGUACGAGAGGACCGGAGUGGACGCAUCACUGGUGUUCGGGUUGUCAUGCCAAUGGCACUGCCCGGUAGCUAAAUGCGGAAGAGAUAAGUGCUGAAAGCAUCUAAGCACGAAACUUGCCCCGAGAUGAGUUCUCCCUGACUCCUUGAGAGUCCUGAAGGAACGUUGAAGACGACGACGUUGAUAGGCCGGGUGUGUAAGCGCAGCGAUGCGUUGAGCUAACCGGUACUAAUGAACCGUGAGGCUUAACCUU